UUAAGUAAUAAUUCUGGAUUUCUAACGAUGUCUACAGCUACAAGCAGUGAUAAUUCAGACAUCAUUAGUAAAAUUCAAAAAAUAGCUGAAGAAAGUGGAAACAACGUUUUAGUGCGUAAAAUUGUGUGUACUGAAAAAAUUAUAGACAUUCCUUACAAUAAGAAAAAAUAUUCUGAAAUAUCCAUAUCAUCGUUAAGUAGUUCUUCAGAGUCAAAUAUUUCAGAUUCUGAUACUGACAAUAGUUCAGAUUUGAACAGCGACGUGAACGAAAAAUUACAGGACAAGUGUGACGAACAAGUACAAAAUAUUGAAACACAUUUUUAUUUCUUAAAAGAAAUGUUGUAUAGUGAAAGAAUAAGAGAAGUUGAAGAGAAGUUAGUUGAAGUGAGAUUAGGUACAGCUAAAGAAUACCGUAUACCUUUACAAGAAUUACAAGAUCAAAUGAAAUCUCGACUUGAAGUAGCAUCUGUACUAAGACAAUUUAAAUUAACAAAUUUAAAACAUAAAUAUGAAGCAGAAGAACAAGCAAUAAGACAAAAUUUUGAGAAUAAUAAAGAAAUUUUAUAUGAUACUAUAAAAGCUGAUUUAGAAGAAAAAAUUCAGCGAUUAGAAGAAGCACGUAAUGAAGUAGAUAUAGAUGCCUCUCUUUGGUUAGGUCGUAGUUUAACUCGUAGUGGACGAGGACGUGGAAGACGUCCAUAUGGGCAUGUACAACCCAAGCGGAAACCUGUUAUUGUAUCUGGACCAUGUAUAGUGUACAACCUUAGAGAACAUGAAAUACUUGAAGAUUGGACCACAAUCAAAAAAUUGUUAUCAUCAUCAAAACGAAAAGAAAAUGCAGUGCAACGAUAUAAACCAUAUGAAUACUGCAAUAAAGUAUUUCAACUGAUUACAACAUACGGAAACAUCAACAUUGGUUAUACUAUUAAUUUAUUUUUAUAGUCAUUAAACAUUUACCCGAAUCUCCAACAACCAACACUUUAACGCUGUCGGUUGAAGCCAUUGAAAUCUCCAUUUUUAAAAGAAAAUUUAAACGGCGACUCAAUGUUGUUUAGCAACUGAAAUAUUGGAAAUAGAAUAUUUUAAACUCCACAACAAUAGUGAUUAUAUUCGUAUCAUGAGUAGAGCAUAAUGGGCAUAUUUUGUUUAUUACAUGGAUAUGUCCGGUCUAUCGAGAUAUAAACGCUCGCUACAAUUUUCCUUUUAUUUAGCCAUUGGCUACACUGUAAACGUUCCCACCCACUACGAAU
rnacentral:misc_RNA from 1 species